GUUUGGACACUGCCUUUACUUCCAAGUGCUGCACUGUGUUAUUGGCAGAGGACAAAGACCAUGGCAGCGAUUGUAGCAGCAUACUAGCUGUGGGUAGCUUUUACUGAGUAUAGUAAAAUAGUUUGCCUCAUGUAGUUGCUCUGGGACCAUGAAGUUCACUGUGUCAUGGGCGGGGGGCAAUGCCCUCUGAGAGCAGAAACAUGGCACCCCACUGGCACACACUAGCUGAUUCUGGGGUGCUCAGCCCUGCAGGGACCUGAAGAUGCUUCCUGCAAUAUUUCGGAAGCCACAUGCUGAUCCGUGAGGGUGCGGGUGUGGGCACUGCGCCCCACCACUGAAGGUUCAUUCACCCACCACUGACCCCGCUCCCGACUUCUCUUUCCACAGAGCCUGGCCCAGCCCCUUCGCUGCCCCCCGAAUCCUGCCUGGUGCUCAGGGCCAUCAGCAAAGUCCUGGGAUCCUUUCUUGGUCUUCUUCUGGGCCUCCUGGGCCUCCUGACCCUGCUCCGAAUCACACGGAUGAAGCAGGGAGAGGGACGUCUGAACAGACCGGACUACUGUGGUGAGUCAUCGUGGCUUCUGGGGCUAUCUGCACUCCCUGCCAACACGGUAACACCGUGUCUGGUGACCUGUUUCGGAGGGCGCGAGCCUCGCAGAUGCACAGUCUGCGCUGGAGAAGGGAGAAGACCGCGCCCUCAGGGUUACGCGAUGAGGCUGCACUUCCGCUGCAGGAGACGCGGCUGUAAAACACCUGGAGAAAAUGCACGUGGGCCUCCGGUUGCAAAGUCACAGGUCUUCACUUUCCUUUGCAGUUGUGUUCAAUUUGAGAACGAGUGCAGCGUCCUCAAGGCUCGCAUAGAAUCCCGGCCCUCCUCCACCCGCGUGUCCCCCCGUCCUUGUUCCUGCUGGGAGGUCCUCGCUGUGGACAGAUGUGCUGCGUAGCCUGGAGGCUCCUGGUUAUGACAAAUACAAAUGCGUGUAGAAAUCCAUAGCUGUGCUUCAUUUUUUUUUUUUUUUAAGCACAAUGGUAUCAUCCUCACGUUGCAGAAUAAGUACCGGAGCCUCCGUGGUGGAAGCAGGCACUCACUUCCCUUCCCCGUUUUUGAUCCUUCCUAACGGCACCCAGAGGGUCUCGCAGACUCUCGGUGAGUGAUCAUGCCACCUGCGAACAACGUCGAACUUACCCUCGCCUUUCCAGUUCUCGCACCUUGAGUCUCCUCUUCUUGUGCAUAUUUCACAGGCCAGGACCCACCCCGUGCUGAAGAGCGGGCGGCGGGCGGGCACCUUCCCUUCUCUGAUUUGCAACAAAGAGUGACGGGGUUUCAUACUUCAUGUCACCCAUGAAUGGGACAUCUGAGGUUCUUUUCUUUGGUAGAUGUCAUUUAUCAGACCAAAGACAAUCCAAUCUAUUCUGAAUUUUUUAGGUGUUUUGCCUUUUUUCAUGAGAACAUUGGCCUAGAAAAUGGUUUUCUGUGUCCGUUAAGGUAACACAUGACUUUCCUCCACUUUUUGGUUAGCAAGGUGAGAGCAGUAUUGACUGAUUUUCAAAUGUUAAACCAGCCUUGGGUUAAACGAACUCAGCUUUGUCAUGGUGUGACGUUCUUUUGCAGUUCUCAGAAGUAAAUAGAGGAGAAUUUGAUGUAUAAUUUUCCUUGUUGUGAGUGUUUCUGUUUCAUUUUUUGGUAUAAUGAUUAUUCAGCCAUAGGACAAAUUCCUUAUGUUUUAAAAAAAUAUUUGCAAGACUUCGUGUAGCGUUGGUUUCAUUUCGUCCUUAAGUGUUUGGAAGGAUUCAACAGUGAUGCCAUCUAGGACUGGAGUUUUCUUUUCGGGAAUUUUUUUUUUUUUUUUUUUUUUUUUUUUUUUGCUCAGAUUCAAUUUUUAAAAAUACAGAUAGUUGGAGCAUCCAGGUUUUUUUUUUUUAAUCUCAUAUUUGGUUUGUCAAGUUCUUCGACGAAUUGGCAAUAUUAUCUAAAAUUUCUAAGUGUACCAGGCAUGCAGUGGUUCACGCCGGCUGUUAUUUUAAUGGCCCUGAGCUCUGCAGCCGUGGGCACUCUGCUCAGGACGCUGCUCACCGCUGUCUCCUCACUCGGGGUCGUGAUCAAUGUUGUCAGAGGGGCGUUCUCAUCACCAGCACCUCCCAGGGCGC
rnacentral:lncRNA from 9 species